ACUUCAUAUUGCAUUAUUGAAGCAUGAAGGGGUCUUUUAGCCAUACAACACUGAUUUGGAUCAAUUCAUGAAUUGUCUAAGCAAGAAACAAAUUAGAUCUGUACAAAAUAAGAAUAAGAUCACCAGUCUCGUGAUGCAAUUUCAUUCCACUAAUUUUUCCAUGAUCGGUAUAGCAUUUCUUUUUCUAUGAAAUUCUUUACUUCUCUUUACAGUGUAACUUCACAGCUAAUCCUGUUGCCAUAUCAGAAUGCGUUUGCAGGGGCAGAUGUUUCUAACCAAGCUUGAGGAUGAUGCUCCCUGUGUUCCUUGCAACCCCUUCUCCAUGCAAGUCAAAACCUGAAUCUCUUAAA
rnacentral:misc_RNA from 1 species